rnacentral:rRNA from 1 species
CUAGUCUCGUAUAGCGGCGGACGGGUGAGUAAUACCUAGGAAUCUGCCUGGUAGUGGGGGAUAACGUUCGGAAACGGACGCUAAUACCGCAUACUAUCAGAUGAGCCUAGGUCGGAUUAGCUAGUUGGUGAGGUAAUGGCUCACCAAGGCUACGAUCCGUAACUGGUCUGAGAGGAUGAUCAGUCACACUGGAACUGAGACACGGUCCAGACUCCUACGGGAUGCAGCAGUGGGGAAUAUUGAACAAUGGGCGAAAGCCUGAGCCAGCCAUGCCGCGUGUGUGAAGAAGGUCUUCGGAUUGUAAAGCACUUUAAGUUGGGAGGCGUUACCGACAGAAUAAGCACCGGCUAACUCUGUGCCAGCAGCCGCGGUAAUUC